rnacentral:misc_RNA from 1 species
AAGCAACAUUUUUUUCGUCUCCUCACAAGUUAUUCUUCCACAACCUCUACCACAAAGCUAUUAAAGGGUAUUAAUUGUAAUUACACCUCCAACCUUACAAGCUUGAUCACCCAAAAUAACUCUGGCUUUCCCAUAUAUUAUUAAUUUCUUGAAGGAAAAUAUUCCAAUCCAAUCUCUCAUGGCGUUUCCACCUACUAAAAUCAAGAUUCUUCCUCCUCUCUUUGCGACCAUAAUCAUCUGUUUCUGCUUUGUUUCGUCAUUGGCAGAGAUUCCACAUUUCCAGCAGCCAUUAAAAUCUGAUGGUUCUCUGAGCUUCUUAGUGGUUGGAGACUGGGGAAGAAGAGGACUUUACAACCAAUCCCAAGUUGCUCAACAGAUGGGAUUAAUUGGAGAGGAACUGAAAAUAGAUUUUGUGAUCUCUACGGGUGAUAAUUUUUAUGAAGAUGGUUUGACAGGAGUGGAUGAUCCAGCAUUUUUUGAGUCGUUUACUAAUAUCUACACUGCCCCAAGCUUGCAAAAGCAGUGGUACUGCGUUCUGGGAAACCAUGAUUACAGGGGUGAUGCUGAAGCACAGUUGAAUCCCAUUCUUACAAAAAAGGAUAGUAGAUGGCUUUGCCUGAGGUCAUUUAUAGUCAAUGCAGAAAUUGUUGAGUUUUUCUUCGUGGACACAACUCCAUUUGUGAAUGAGUACUUCAUAAACCCAGGGGAUCAUACCUAUGACUGGAAAGGUGUAUCUCCUAGGGAGAAUUACCUUGCAAAUCUGUUGAAGGUAAUGCUUCUAAAUUCAUACUUGACCUGUUUGAUAUUCUUCUAUCCAAAUGAAAAAGUUGAAAAUGAAUUCUGUGUUUAUUUAUUCCAAACAAAUUGUAAAAGCUCUUCUGAAAAAUUUUAAGGGUUGAUUUUCAAAUUAGUAGCCAAGAUAUUCAAAUGACAAAUUUGAAGAACAACUAAUUCAAUAUGAAACUAGGAAAGGAAUGAUGCUUUGAUUUCAACUUUGCAAUAGGAUGUGGAUUCAGCGCUGGGAAGUUCUACUGCAAAAUGGAAAAUUGUUGUUGGUCACCAUGCCAUCUUAAGUGCAGGACACCAUGGAAUCACAGACGAGCUUCUAAAGCAGCUUGUUCCAAUUCUACAGAAACAUAAUGUUGAUGCUUACAUAAAUGGGCAUGAUCACUGCAUGGAACACAUCAGCAGCAGCCACAGCAAAAUUCAAUUCCUAACAAGUGGAGGUGGCUCAAAAGCUUGGAGAGGAGAUAUAAGGAAGUGGAAUCCAGAGGAAUUGAAGUUAUAUUAUGAUGGCCAAGGUUUUAUGUCAGGACAAAUGACUGACACCAAGGCCGUUUUUGUAUUCUAUGAUAUAUUUGGCAAUGUUUUACAUCAAUGGAGCAUAUCCAAAGUGAGUCACUCAGCUGCAUAAAGAUACGAGAACCAAGAAUUGCUAGGAGUAUGUCAUCACUAUUUAUAAGUAAAAAUGCAGGACAAAUUGCAAAAUAAAAAUGAGAAUUUGUAAUAAAGUACCAAAAAUAGGAGAAUCUAUGUUUAAAUUUAGAGGCUUCCAUACCGGUGUACAAAUGUAAGUAUUGAUAUUAGCUGCUAAAAUUAGGUUUGUUUGAUUAACUUCAAUGAAUUUACCUUAUCUUUCUGCUGAAUCAUUACAUCAUUUUCCAGAGGAUGAACUGUUCUAUGAUUUCCAUGCAUUCCUUUUCGAGCACAAGGAGAGAUUUAAUCAUGGGAUUGCUUUGAUUUUCCAUCAAAAUGCACAGCAAUGUUACUCAUUUUAAGGUUUCCCCAAAAUCAACAUAAAUAAUGUGAUGGUAUGCUGUUUGGAUUAGCAUCAGCAUUAGAAAAUCCAAAUUAGAGCAGAUCUAUAUUCAUAUAAAAAAAUUUAAAGCGCAAGGGGAAGGAAAUUGACAAACAACAAAAUUGGCCAAUGCUGCAGUUCAAGUGGCUAACUUUAUAAAUCACUUAAAAUCCCUUGUCAAGAACCUUUAAAUGGAACACUGUAUAUAAUUCGCUCUGUUCUCCAGUAUGGCAAGCUCAGUAGUAACUCUUCAUGUAAUUUAUGAGUAUAAUCUUCCCAUGCACUAAUUGCAGCAGAAAAUUUUGCCCAAUCAAAGGAAUCUUGACAUUUCUGGCGGUUACUGACACAGCUGAACACCAUCUCCACCAGCUGAUGGUCCCUUAAAACGAAAGAUUUCAAGGCAAUAAUAUUUUCCUUUUGUGAUUGUGAUAAUUGUAUUACCUUGCAAGUUUCAAAGCAAGAAAUAAGCAAUUCCGAGGCUUUCCAACAAUAGAAUUGUACCACCUGAAGUAAGUGCAGAAUAUUGGCAAAUUCAUGUUCAAAUAACUCAUCUGCCCGUGCUAGUUUAACUGGCUCCAUGAGUAUCAUGAUAUCUGAAAAGAAGCUCUUUUCUUGAGAAGAAUAAAUGUCAAACCCAAGCAGAUGUAUUCUUGCACAGCAAAUAUUGAAUCCUGACUGUUGAUUAGACACUGGUUCUGGUGAAAACCAGUACAUAUUACUGGAAGCUAGCAUAGGGAGCUUCGACCCAGGCACAUUAUUUGAACUACAUAACAAGUUUUCUGAUAGAAGGGAAAUGAGUUUAGCAUCCUCAUCAUGGGUACUAUCACGGCUAAACCAUAAUGUAAGGGUAAGCCUUUCUCCUUCGGUUAUCUCAUCAACUGAAUGAACAUUGCUGAUGUCAGCUGUAUAUAUUGCAACAUCUCCAGCCUUGGGAACAAGAGUAGUUGGCUCCCCAUCCUGGAAGUGAAAGAGUCCACCUUUGAAAUCCUUUGCAUAAGUAUUCAAAUAACAGACGUGAAGUCCCUUUGUUUGAGAUAAGGCCUGUUAUCAUCACUAUGCCAUCCAAUGCUUGCUCCUUUACUCCAGCUAAUCAAACCAGUGAAUUCCACGAAGAGCUCAUACUCACAGCCAAAGAACUCCUCUACCUUCUCUUUCAACCUCUCACGGAUGGGAACAAAAGGGAUGAUAAAGUGGGGACAAUUGGUAGCGAUGAGAUGAGAGAGGGUGGUGGAGAAGACGUUGGGCCUAUACCCCACAGUGCUGCUACUCUUGUGAAUGAAUUCCAAUUCCUUGCAUUCAUUGAGAGUAAGGAAAUCACGAAGGAUGAGACGCAGGUGCUUCGCGUCCUCCAUAUUUUUGAUGCCUCAAUCAGUCAAUCUACUAGAUUUUUUUUGAACUGCAAACUAAGCGCAUUUACAAGGCCCCUUGGGCAUCUCAAGCUACCAGUUAACAUCACAGGUUUCGGGCG